GAUGAACGCUAGCUACAGGCUUAACACAUGCAAGUCGAGGGGAAACGAUGAGAGAGCUUGCUCUCUUAGUCGUCGACCGGCGCACGGGUGAGUAACGCGUAUCCAACCUGCCUCUGACCAAGGGAUAACCCGUCGAAAGUCGGACUAAUACCUUAUGCAGUCGUCGGAAGUCAUCUGAUGACGACGAAAGAUUUCAUCGGUGAGAGAUGGGGAUGCGUCUGAUUAGCUUGUUGGCGGGGUAACGGCCCACCAAGGCGACGAUCAGUAGGGGUUCUGAGAGGAAGGUCCCCCACAUUGGAACUGAGACACGGUCCAAACUCCUACGGGAGGCAGCAGUGAGGAAUAUUGGUCAAUGGGCGUAAGCCUGAACCAGCCAAGUAGCGUGCAGGAUGACGGCCCUAUGGGUUGUAAACUGCUUUUAUGCGGGGAUAAAGUGAGGGACGUGUCCUUCAUUGCAGGUACCGCAUGAAUAAGGACCGGCUAAUUCCG
rnacentral:rRNA from 1 species